rnacentral:rRNA from 1 species
UCGAGACGGCGGACGGGUGAGUAACGCGUAGGAAUGUAUCCAGAGGUGGGGGACAACCCCCGGGAAACUGGGGCUAAUACCGCAUAUGUGCUGAGGCACAAAGCAGUAAUGCGCCUUUGGAGCAGCCUGCGUCCGAUUAGGUAGUUGGUGGGGUAAUGGCCUACCAAGCCUGCGAUCGGUAGCUGGUCUGAGAGGACGAUCAGCCACACUGGGACUGAGACACGGCCCAGACUCCUACGGGAGGCAGCAGUGGGGAAUAUUGGACAAUGGGCGAAAGCCUGAUCCAGCAAUGCCGCGUGUGUGAAGAAGGUCUUCGGAUCGUAAAGCACUUUCGACAGGGACGAUGAUGACGGUACCUGUAGAAGAAGCCCCGGCUAACUUCGUG